rnacentral:rRNA from 1 species
UACGAAGGGGGCGAGCGUUGUUCGGAAUUACUGGGCGUAAAGGGCGCGUAGGCGGCGACCCAAGUCAGAUGUGAAAUUCCCGGGCUCAACCUGGGGACUGCGUUUGAUACGUGCGGGCUUGAGUUCGGAAGAGGGUCGUGGAAUUCCCAGUGUAGAGGUGAAAUUCGUAGAUAUUGGGAAGAACACCGGUGGCGAAGGCGGCGACCUGGUCAGACACUGACGCUGAGGCGCGAAAGCGUGGGGAGCAAACAGG